UACGUAGGGUGCGAGCGUUGUCCGGAAUUAUUGGGCGUAAAGAGCUCGUAGGCGGUUUGUCGCGUCUGCUGUGAAAACCCGAGGCUCAACCUCGGGCCUGCAGUGGGUACGGGCAGACUAGAGUGCGGUAGGGGAGACUGGAAUUCCUGGUGUAGCGGUGAAAUGCGCAGAUAUCAGGAGGAACACCGAUGGCGAAGGCAGGUCUCUGGGCCACUACUGACGCUGAGAAGCGAAAGCGUGGGGAGCGAACAGG
rnacentral:rRNA from 1 species